rnacentral:lncRNA from 1 species
GUAAAGAAGUGGAUGAUCAUUUCAAUGCUUAAUUUAUAACAGAUAAUAUAUUAAUAGCUUAUUGACAUAUUAAAACAAAAAAAGUCCAGUGAACUUGGUAAAUUUUAUAUUAUUAAAAAAAAUGGUCACCACAACGAAGAAAGUGUGAUGGAAAAUGAAAGAUCAACUUUAGUUUAAGUAUAUAAACAUUGUCCACCUCUCCCCACAUUGUUAUAUUAAAUGAUAUUAAUUUGUGUGGCUUACAGAUGUGAGAUUCUUGUCCAUCCGUGAUGUGAAAAUAUGUCUUUCUCAUGCUUUUAGCUAAUGGACCGACUUUGCAUCUCACCCAUAUGUUAAAAUAUACCUCAAAUUAUAUAAUUAAGUACAAAAUAUUUAUAAAACAGAUAACUCAAGAAUCUUCCUUUGGUUCCGAUCAAUCAAAGAAACAUUUUACGCAAAAAGAAAGUUAGAAACGAACGUCAGUAUGCACAGUUGACCUUAUAUAUCAAUUAAUAUGUUAUUUUCACAAUUGUUCUAAUGUUUUUAUCAUUCCUUUUUUUCUCUUAGAAAGAAAGAGAGAAAGGGAGAGUCAGAGAGACCAAUGAGAGUUGCAAUCUUAUAUUAUAUUUGAUCCUAAGGUUCUAGCGGCGACAACAGCACGGUCGU